GACGAACGCUGGCGGCGUGCCUAAUACAUGCACGUAGAACGCCGUUGCGAACGGGUGAGUGACGCGUCGGUAACCGCCCCAUAGCGGGGGAUAACUAUUUGGAACCAUAGGCAAUACCGCCUACUGUGAGCUGGACCUGAGUUGUAUUAGCUAGUGGGGGCGGUCAAGGCCCACCAAGGCGACGAUACAUAGCCGACCUGAGAGGGAGAUCGGCCACACUUGGACUGAGACACGGCCCAGACUCCGUAGGGAGGCAGCAGUAGGGAAACAUCGGCAAUGGACGGAAGUCUGACCGAGCAACGCCGGGUUAGUGAAGAAGGUUUUUGGAGCGUAAAGGUCUGUUGUUAGAGAAGCGGUAACGAACCAGGAAGGGACGGCUAACUACGUGCCAGCAGCCGCGGUAAUAC
rnacentral:rRNA from 1 species